rnacentral:rRNA from 1 species
AAAUUGAAGAGUUUGAUCAUGGCUCAGAUUGAACGCUGGCGGCAGGCCUAACACAUGCAAGUCGAACGGUAACAGGAAGAAGCUUGCUUCUUUGCUGACGAGUGGCGGACGGGUGAGUAAUGUCUGGGAAACUGCCUGAUGGAGGGGGAUAACUACUGGAAACGGUAGCUAAUACCGCAUAACGUCGCAAGACCAAAGAGGGGGACCUUAGGGCCUCUUGCCAUCGGAUGUGCCCAGAUGGGAUUAGCUAGUAGGUGGGGUAACGGCUCACCUAGGCGACGAUCCCU